GCUUCACUGAUAAAAGAGCAAAAUCAAAAGUGACUUUCUUCUAAUUAUAAGAUUAAUUAUUAUAGAAAAUUUAGAAAUUAUGAAUGAGUAUUAAAUAAGGACAAUAUACUAUACACCCAAUUUAAUAUCUUGCUUUUUUUUUACCUAAUAUUUUAGUAUAUUUUAUAAAACAUUCUCAGUAGAGUCAUUUUAAUUACUGUAUAUGAUUCCAUUUUUUGAUGUACAGUAACUUAUCUUAAAUUGUUUACAUUAUUGACAGUUUAUUCUAAAUAAUACUGUGAUAAAUACCUUUGUUGAUAUAAAAAAAU
rnacentral:lncRNA from 1 species